AUGUGUUGUGAGGAGUUCAGGAGAGGCAAUCUGCUACAUCCGUUGGAGAUGGAUUCCUUUUUCCCGGUGCUGCAGUACGCUGACGACACCCUGAUGCUGAUCAAAGGGACUGUGGAGCAAGACGCAAUCGUCAAGAGGAUGCUUAAGCGUUUCUCUGACUUCACUGAUCUGCAGAUCAACUCCAAUAAAAGCACCUUUGUGCCCAUCAACAUGGAGCAAUCUACUAGGCAGCAAGUUUCUGAGCUGUUAGAGUGUCCGGUCUCAACCUUUCCUUGUAACUACUUGGGCUUGCCGUUGUCAACAAACAAGAUCACCCAUGCGAUGUUGAUGCCAGUCAUACACCGAGUGGACAAAAGACUCUCUGGCUGGUUGGCAACCUUCUUGUCUUGGGGAGGGAGGCUUACUAUGAUAAACUCUGUACUUGCAGCUAUACCAAAUUAUUAUAUGGCCUGUUUUCUAUGGCCGAAGGAGUCCCUGGGUAAGCUUGAGCAAAUUCUCAGGGGUUUUUUGUGGCAAGGAAAGAAAUCUGCCCUUGGAGGGCAAUGCUUGUGGCCUGGGAUGUUGUUACCCUCCCCAGGGGCACUGGGGGACUCAUAA
rnacentral:rRNA from 1 species